AAGCUAUUUAGGUAGCGCCUCGUGAAUUCAUCUCCGGGGGUAGAGCACUGUUUCGGCUAGGGGGCCAUCCCGGCUUACCAACCCGAUGCAAACUGCGAAUACCGGAGAAUGUUAUCACGGGAGACACACGGCGGGUGCUAACGUCCGUCGUGAAGAGGGAAACAACCCAGACCGCCAGCUAAGGUCCCAAAGUCAUGGUUAAGUGGGAAACGAUGUGGGAAGGCCCAGACAGCCAGGAUGUUGGCUUAGAAGCAGCCAUCAUUUAAAGAAAGCGUAAUAGCUCACUGGUCGAGUCGGCCUGCGCGGAAGAUGUAACGGGGCUAAACCAUGCACCGAAGCUGCGGCAGCGACGCUUAUGCGUUGUUGGGUAGGGGAGCGUUCUGUAAGCCUG
rnacentral:rRNA from 1 species